rnacentral:rRNA from 1 species
AACGAACGCUGGCGGCAUGCUUAACACAUGCGAGUCGAACGAGACUUUCGGGUCUAGUGGCGCACGGGUGCGUAACGCGUGGGAAUCUGCCCUUAGGUACGGAAUAACUCAGAGAAAUUUGUGCUAAUACCGUAUGAUGUCGAAAGACCAAAGAUUUAUCGCCUAAGGAUGAGCCCGCGUAAGAUUAGCUUGUUGGUGAGGUAAAAGCUCACCAAGGCGACGAUCUUUAGCUGGUCUGAGAGGAUGAUCAGCCACACUGGGACUGAGACACGGCCCAGACGCCUACGGGAGGCAGCAUUGGGGAAUAUUGGACAAUGGGCGAAAGCCUGAUCCAGCAAUGCCGCGUGAGUGAUGAAGGCCUUAGGGUUGUAAAGCUCUUUUACCAGGGAUGAUAAUGACAGUACCUGGAGAAUAAGCUCCGGCUAACUCCGUGCCAGCCGCCGCCGUAA